rnacentral:ncRNA from 1 species
GUUGAAAAUAAGCAUAGAUCCGGAGAUUCCCAAAUAGGUCAACCUUUUAAACUGCCUGCUGAAUCCAUGAGCAGGCAAGAGACAACCUGGCGAACUGAAACAUCUUAGUAGCCAGAGGAAAAGAAAGCAAAAGCGAUUCCCGUAGUAGCGGCGAGCGAUAUGGGAGCAGCCUAAACCGUGAAAACGGGGUUGUGGGAGAGCAAUACAAGCGUUGUGCUGCUAGGCGAAGCGGUUGAGUGCCGCACCCUAGAUGGCUAAAGUCCAGUAGCCGAAAGCAUCACUAGCUUAUGCUCUGACCCGAGUA